UAUUACCAGCAAAUCUUUCUUCGGAGUAAAGAUAAUGUUAUUUAUAAUACUAGUUACAGCCACAAAAACUGUCUUUAUAUGCAGAAGGUGUGAAUGAGUUACCUUUAUUAAGAUAAAUGUUUAAUUUACCUUUCAUUACAAAAGAACACAUUCAUGGAGAAAAAUGUGCGAUUAGCAGAAAGUGAGUGUGAGUGUGGGAGUAAGUAUGUGUGAUCAAGAUGUAAACUCACUUUAUGUCCUUUUAUUAACUGAAGACAAUUUUAUCACUGACAAGAGAUUCCUAAAUGGGUUCUUUAACGAACUAAUUUUGCUGCAACACAGAGGCUUUCUGGUAAGGCGUUGGCCAGCGAAAACAGGUUAAUGCAGAAAUUAAACUUCCUUGAGGAAUGGAAAGAAUUGCAGAGUAACAUUUAUUGAAUGAUAAGCUGUGGUGGUGAUAUGAAAAGUAUGCAAUAUAAUGGGAAAUAAUCUUUUCCUGUCAUUAUUGAAGGACACACAUAAAUUGGUUUUUCUGUUGGGAAACCCCCGGUCCAGAAAAACUUAUUACUUUUAAUAAUAUGAGGUGAAGAGAAAAUUCUCGAGGAGAUGAACUUAUUAAACAAAAUAAUGAAAUGCUGUGAAACAGCAGGGAAAAGGUAGCUAGACGUUAUAUAGCUCUUGAAUUAAAUAUCCAUUUUUGCGUUUUAUGGCAGUUGGAUGUGCUCUUUGGAAGACUGUUAAGCUGAGGAGGGUAUGUGCUAGCUUUUGUCAGCUUUUCGAAAAAUAAUACAUAUUUUUUUGAAACAUAGGAAGUUAAAAAGAAAAAUGCGUAUGAGGUGUUUUUUUAAAAUGAGUUUGGAUUUUCCUUUUAGCUUCAAGUUGCUUGUUUAGCUGCAAAUUAUCUCAAAGGGUUUUUUUUUUUUUUUAUAUCACUGGAGAGAAAGGUUGUUUUGUUUUAUUUUGUUUUGUUUUGUAAUGAGACUGUCCCUUCCUCAGAAGACAUCUUUAAAAGCUGAUCUCUGGAUUACUGCUGAAUGGAAACCCCCCCCAAAAAAGACCUUUAAUCCUGUGCCAACUGGAUGUGAUGACUGUAUAUGUCACUGUACCUUCAAGGAAAUGAACUUCUUCCAGAAUUUUCUCCUUCAGAAUAACUUCAUAUCUUAAAAAAGUAUAGCAAUGCUGUCUACUGUGACCUUACUUAUGAUAGUUGACUCAAUUUGAGUAACCUGUACUUGGUAGCCUUUCUGCAUUGAUCCAAAUUAAAAAAAAAAAAAAAUGUUUAGCUCUAAAAAAGAGAA